rnacentral:rRNA from 1 species
CCUACGGUAGUCAGCAGUAGGGAAUCUUCCACAAUGGGCGAAAGCCUGAUGGAGCAACGCCGCGUGGGUGAAGAAGGUCUUCGGAUCGUAAAACCCUGUUGUUAGAGAAGAAAGUGCGUGAGAGUAACUGUUCACGUUUCGACGGUAUCUAACCAGAAAGCCACGGCUAACUACGUGCCAGCAGCCGCGGUAAUAAGUAGGUGGCAAGCGUUAUCCGGAUUUAUUGGGCGUAAAGGGAACGCAGGCGGUAUUUUAAGUCUGAUGUGAACGCCUUCGGUUUAACCGGAGUAGUGCAUUUGAAACUGGGAGACUUGAGUGCAGAAGAGGAGGGUGGAAUGCCAUGUGUAGCG